UGUAGACUGCGAUCGCAGUGAUGGCGGCCGUCAGGGCAGGCGUCGCCGCUAGGGAUGUCUUCUGAUUAUCGGAAAACUAAGUAGGCGGAUGGAGAAUGGUACAAUUAACGUGUUUCCAUGGAAAUGAGUCAAUCGUUGUUGCUCCGGAGAAUCGUCCAUAUUGAAGUGCAGCUUGGCAAAGGCAUUGCAACUCCAGGCCACCAUCGUUCCCAUCGAUACGUAUCCAAGGGAUGC